rnacentral:lncRNA from 14 species
UAAAAGAAGAAGCAGAAAAAGUGGACAAGCUUGAAAAAGAAUGCCAACUGGAAGUCAGUGUGAAGGAAAAGCAGGACAUGAAGAAGAAAUGUUGAAGAAGUCCCAGAUCUGUCAAGAACAUUUGAGGGCAGAAUUGGAAGAGACCAAAGUUUCACUGAGGAAAACAGAGGUUACUCAAAAGAGCUUAGAAACUGAAUUGCAG